rnacentral:rRNA from 1 species
GACGAACGCUGGCGGCGUGCUUAACACAUGCAAGUCGAACGGCAGCACGGGAGCAAUCCUGGUGGCGAGUGGCGAACGGGUGAGUAAUGUAUCGGAACGUGCCCAGUCGUGGGGGAUAACGCAGCGAAAGCUGUGCUAAUACCGCAUACGAUCUAUGGAUGAAAGCGGGGGAUCGCAAGACCUCGCGCGAUUGGAGCGGCCGAUAUCAGAUUAGGUAGUUGGUGGGGUAAAGGCCCACCAAGCCGACGAUCUGUAGCUGGUCUGAGAGGACGACCAGCCACACUGGAACUGAGACACGGUCCAGACUCCUACGGGAGGCAGCAGUGGGGAAUUUUGGACAAUGGGCGCAAGCCUGAUCCAGCAAUGCCGCGUGCAGGAUGAAGGCCUUCGGGUUGUAAACUGCUUUUGUACGGAACGAAACGGCUCUCUCUAAUACAGGGGGCUAAUGACGGUACCGUAAGAAUAAGCACCGGCUAACUACGUGCCAGCAGCCGCCGUAA